rnacentral:rRNA from 1 species
AACGAACGCUGGCGGCAGGCCUAACACAUGCAAGUCGAGCGAGGACUUCGGUUCUAGCGGCGGACGGGUGAGUAACGCGUGGGAACGUGCCCUUCUCUACGGAAUAGCCCUGGGAAACUGGGAGUAAUACCGUAUACGCCCUAUUGGGGAAAGAUUUAUCGGAGAAGGAUCAGCCCGCGUUGGAUUAGGUAGUUGGUGGGGUAAUGGCCUACCAAGCCGACGAUCCAUAGCUGGUUUGAGAGGAUGAUCAGCCACACUGGGACUGAGACACGGCCCAGACUCCUACGGGAGGCAGCAGUGGGGAAUCUUAGACAAUGGGGGCAACCCUGAUCUAGCCAUGCCGCGUGAGUGAUGAAGGCCUUAGGGUUGUAAAGCUCUUUCAGCUGGGAAGAUAAUGACGGUACCAGCAGAAGAAGCCCCGGCUAACUCCGUG